rnacentral:rRNA from 1 species
GAUGAACGCUGGCGGCGUGCCUAAUACAUGCAAGUCGAGCGAACGGACGAGAAGCUUGCUUUUCUGAUGUUAGCGGCGGACGGGUGAGUAACACGUGGAUAACCUACCUAUAAGACUGGGAUAGCUUCGGGAAACCGGAGCUAAUACCGGAUAAUAUUUUGAACCGCAUGGUUCAAAAGUGAAAGACGGUCUUGCUGUCACUUAUAGAUGGAUCCGCGCUGCAUUAGCUAGUUGGUAAGGUAACGGCUUACCAAGGCAACGAUGCAUAGCCGACCUGAGAGGGUGAUCGGCCACACUGGAACUGAGACACGGUCCAGACUCCUACGGGAGGCAGCAGUAGGGAAUCUUCCGCAAUGGGCGAAAGCCUGACGGAGCAACGCCGCGUGAGUGAUGAAGGUCUUCGGAUCGUAAAACUCUGUUAUUAGGGAAGAACAUAUGUGUAAGUAACUGUGCACAUCUUGGCGGUACCUAAUCAGAAAGCCACGGCUAACUACGUGCCAGCAGCCGCGGUAAUACGUAGGUGGCAAGCGUUAUCCGGAAUUAUUAGGCGUAAAGCGCGCGUAGGCGGUUUUUUAAGUCUGAUGUGAAAGCCCACGGCUCAACCGUGGAGGGUCAUUGGAAGCUGGAAAACUUGAGUGCAGAAGAGGAAAGUGGAAUUCCAUGUGUAGCGGUGAAAUGCGCAGAGAUGUGGAGGAACACCAGUGGCGAAGGCGACUUUCUGGUCUGUAACUGACGCCGAUGUGCGAAAGCGUGGGGAUCAAACAGGAUUAGAUACCCUGGUAGUCCACGCCGUAAACGAUGAGUGCUAAGUGUUAGGGGGUUUCCGCCCCUUAGUGCUGCAGCUAACGCAUUAAGCACUCCGCCUGGGGAGUACGACCGCAAGGUUGAAACUCAAAGGAAUUGACGGGGGCCCGCACAAGCGGUGGAGCAUGUGGUUUAAUUCGAAGCAACGCGAAGAACCUUACCAAAUCUUGACAUCCUUUGACAACUCUAGAGAUAGAGCCUUCCCCUUCGGGGGACAAAGUGACAGGUGGUGCAUGGUUGUCGUCAGCUCGUGUCGUGAGAUGUUGGGUUAAGUCCCGCAACGAGCGCAACCCUUAAGCUUAGUUGCCAUCAUUAAGUUGGGCACUCUAAGUUGACUGCCGGUGACAAACCGGAGGAAGGUGGGGAUGACGUCAAAUCAUCAUGCCCCUUAUGAUUUGGGCUACACACGUGCUACAAUGGACAAUACAAAGGGCAGCGAAACCGCGAGGUCAAGCAAAUCCCAUAAAGUUGUUCUCAGUUCGGAUUGUAGUCUGCAACUCGACUACAUGAAGCUGGAAUCGCUAGUAAUCGUAGAUCAGCAUGCUACGGUGAAUACGUUCCCGGGUCU